ensembl:lncRNA
UUCUACCGGCUGAUAAUGAGGCGACGAACCCACUGCCCAGACAUGAACGCUCAGAUGAAGUCCGGCCGACAGCCCAGCCAUGGCCGCUACAUCCUGAAUCUAGGCAAAUAGGAGCCGGGCAGGCAGCCUUCGCUUUGGGUCUGAAGCGCAGGGAAAGCAGAAUCAAUUAAGCAUGGAAGGGAAGGGAUCUUUGGGAAGACUGUGGGUUUGGAGAGGCCUUGAGCCCGAGCUUUGGACACCGUGGAGGUGGGAUAUCCAGUGGAUAUGCAUAAACGGGUUGAGGAGGAUGAAAGCUGUUCAGCAGAUAAAGCCAUAGCAGCCUGUCGGAAUCCUGCCACGCUGGCCUUGAUUUAUGACCAUCUCAGUCAGACUCCCUACCAAAGCCACCCGCUACCUUUUUGCUCAGUGGAAAUGCUCAUGUUUGAGCCGAUAGUACAACCAAAGUUCGCAAACACACAAGGGACGUGGUCUGGUUCGUCACACUGAACCUGAGGACACAGCCGAUGUCUCUGAGUAGCACUCUGAUGUUCCCAGUUUCUCCUCUCUCGCACAACAUUAAAAAGUCUGGAUAAAAGGUAAGGAAUAAGCUUUAUUAACUUUAAAAAUGCAUGAUGUUUCUGAGAAAAGUGCAGUACGGCAUCGAGAAACGUCCAAAAGCUUGACUACUUAUUUCUCCUUAUUUUUUUCCCUCUUCCUCUCUCCUUCUCAAAAAUUGUAAAUAAUUGAAAACAGAGAAGGGAAGGAAAGGGGGGAAAAGACACCAAGAUUCUGACACACUCUGCAUAAACAUCUCCUUAUUAGUGACCCUAGAUGCCCAGGGAGAUCACACACACGCAAGCACCCUGCUGAGAGCUCAAAUGUCAGAGGUCAGUCUUCACCAUCAUAACCUCUACAGACGUUUCUUCCAGUCUUUCACAGGUGACUCAUAACUGUGAACGAUUAAGCGGUAAGGUCAGAGAGUUUGUGUAGUAUUGUGAAUAUAGUCAUGGCAAGAAAGCAUUGUUAGGCAAAGUGUUUCUUCAUAAAUGUUUAGUCAGGUAACUUAAAUAUGACUUUUGAAAGAAAUAAACACUUUUUAUUCAGAAAGGACA